rnacentral:rRNA from 1 species
UACGGAGGGUGCGAGCGUUAAUCGGAAUAACUGGGCGUAAAGGGCACGCAGGCGGGCUUUUAAGUGAGGUGUGAAAUCCCCGGGCUUAACCUGGGAAUGGCAUUUCAGACUGGGAGUCUAGAGUACUUUAGGGGGGGGUGGAAUUCCACGUGUAGCGGUGAAAUGCGUAGAGAUGUGGAGGAAUACCGAUGGCGAAGGCAGCCCCUUGGGCAUGAACUGACGCUCAUGUGCGAAAGCGUGGGGAGCAAACGGG